AACGAACGCUGGCGGCAGGCCUUACACAUGCAAGUCGAACGUGAAAGUCCUUUCGGGGAUGAGUAAAGUGGCGCACGGGUGAGUAACGCGUGGGAACGUACCCUUCAGUAUGGGAUAACAGCGGGAAACUGCUGCUAAUACCGUAUAUUCUCGAGAGAGGAAAGAUUUAUAGCUGAAGGAUCGGCCCGCGUCAGAUGAGCUAGUUGGUGGGGUAAUGGCCUACCAAGGCUACGAUCUGUAGCUGGUCUGAGAGGAUGAUCUGCCACACUGGAACUGAGACACGGUCCAGACUCCUACGGGAGGCAGCAGUGGGGAAUUUUGGACAAUGGGCGAAAGCCUGAUCCAGCCAUUCCGCGUGCAGGAUGAAGGCCCUCGGGUUGUAAACUGCUUUUGUACAGAACGAAAAGGUUUCUACUAAUACUAGGAGCUCAUGACAGUACUGUAAGAAUAAGCACCGGCUAACUACGUGCCAGCCGCCGCCGUAA
rnacentral:rRNA from 1 species